rnacentral:rRNA from 1 species
UACGAAGGUCCCAAGCGUUAUCCGGAAUUACUGGGUGUAAAGCGUCUGUAGGCGGGUCUGUAAGUUUCAUAUGAAAGACCGGAGCUCAACUCCGUGUUUGUAUGAAAAACUGCAGACCUAGAAUUAGGGAGAGGUAAUCGGAAUGGUAAGAGUAGAGGUGCAAUUCGUAGAUACUUACCAGAACACCAAAAGCGAAGGCAGAUUACUGGAACUAUAUUGACGCUGAGAGACGAAAGCGUGGGGAGCGAAAAGG